rnacentral:rRNA from 1 species
AUACGGAGGGUGCAAGCGUUACUCGGAAUCACUGGGCGUAAAGCGCGCGCAGGCGGUCUUUUAAGUUGGAUGUGAAAGCCUACGGCUCAACCGUAGAACUGCAUCCAAAACUAUUAGACUAGAGUGUGGGAGGGGAAGAUGGAAUUAGUUGUGUAGGGGUAAAAUCCGUAGAGAUAACUAGGAAUACCAAAAGCGAAGGCAAUCUUCUGGAACACUACUGACGCUGAGGCGCGAAAGCGUGGGGAGCAAACAGGAUUAGAUACCCGGGUAGUCC